UUAUUGACGACUCUUCCAAAUACAAACGCGAAGACUUUACGAACCAAUUUCUUAAUAUCACAAUUGCAUUAACGCUUCUCUAACUACGCUAAAGUCUGUUUAUUGGAAGGACUAUUCCUUAGUUUGAAAUAAAGAAAUUUUUUGGAAAUUGAAUAAUGGAUAAACAUUAUAUCAAAAGUCAUGUGCUGUUAUAGAUCAUAAUGGAUAUAUAUUUUGUCUUGUGGGACAUUUUGGUGGACAUACUUGUAAUUUUUAUUAUAAUCAAUAUAAACCCAGAGUUGAUAUUAACUCUAACUAUACAAUGUAUAUCAAUGAAUAUGCUAUUAAAAAUCAAUUGUUUCAUUUUUAAA